GCUCAGUUUGGGCUGUUUUACUGGCACAGCUGAUGAAGAGAGGUUUGCAUUUUGAUUUUAAUAUAAACGGAUAACCAGACAUGAUUCUUUCUACCUAUCACACUAUCCAGUCUGUUUUCUGCUGCUGCUGCUGCUCAGUGCAAGAAAGAGAAAUGAGAACAAAAGUGAACCUGGAUCCUGACACUGUCCUGGUGACCCACUACUCUGCCUCACAACCAGACGUUUCCUAUGAAUCUAUUUGGAAGUGUGAGGUAAGUAACAUUUUAGCAGGUGAAAAGA
rnacentral:lncRNA from 1 species